rnacentral:rRNA from 1 species
UCUAGCUUGCUAGAUGUCCUUAGUGGCGGACGGGUGAGUAACGCGUGGGAACCAACCUUGGAGCGGGGAAUAACUAUUGGAAACGAUAGCUAAUACCGCAUACGCCCUUUGGGGGAAAGGCUUCGGCCACUCCUGGAUGGUCCCGCGUCUGAUUAGCUGGUUGGUGAGGUAAUGGCUCACCAAGGCGACGAUCAGUAGCUGGUUUGAGAGGAUGAUCAGCCACACUGGGACUGAGACACGGCCCAGACUCC